UGGGUCUUUCGUAUAUUGUAACA
rnacentral:siRNA from 1 species